GGUUAAGUUAGAAAGGGCGCACGGUGGAUGCCUUGACACUAGGAGUCGAUGAAGGACGGGACUAACGCCGAUAUGCUUCGGGGAGCUGUAAGUAAGCUUUGAUCCGAAGAUUUCCGAAUGGGGAAACCCACUAUACGUAAUGGUAUGGUAUCCUUACCUGAAUACAUAGGGUAUGGAAGACAGACCCAGGGAACUGAAACAUCUAAGUACCUGGAGGAAGAGAAAGCAAAUGCGAUUUCCUGAGUAGCGGCGAGCGAAACGGAAUCUAGCCCAAACCAAGAGGCUUGCCUCUUGGGGUUGUAGGACAUUCUAUACGGAGUUACAAAGGAACGAGGUAGACGAAGCAGUCUGGAAAGGCUCGUCACAGAGGGUAACAACCCCGUAGUCGAAACUUCGUUCUCUCUUGAAUGUAUCCUGAGUACGGCGGAACACGUGAAAUUCCGUCGGAAUCUGGGAGGACCAUCUCCCAAGGCUAAAUACUCCCUAGUGAUCGAUAGUGAACCAGUACCGUGAGGGAAAGGUGAAAAGCACCCCGGAAGGGGAGUGAAAGAGAUCC
rnacentral:rRNA from 1 species